rnacentral:lncRNA from 1 species
UUUUGAGCCGGGUCGGUCUCGUAUGGGCCAAAUGAUCGGGCCCAUUAGGAUUUAAUUUUAGAAUUGUUUUAGCCCAUUUUUAAUGUUUGCUUUAAAUAUUAAUAAAAUAGUCAUAAUAAAAUUUUGAAAAAAAUAAAAAAUACAAAAAAAUAAAAAUUAUGUUUUGGCCCCCAAACUUUUCAAAAAUUAUGUUUUGCCCCCUAACUUUUUCUAAAUUUACAUCUUGACCCCUAAUAUUUCGUAAAUUACAGUCGGGCCCCUAAACGUUCCAGAAAUUACAUUUUAGCCCCAUAUUUUCUGAAAAUUACGUUUUUGCCCCAAAAACUUUGCACACUCUACAAUUCAGUCCUUCUGGGCAUGACAAGACUGCCCCCAACCAGCAUCCGGGCGUGCACCGCACCCUACGCCUGACACCGCCAAUCAGCCAUGCUCCCCACCUCCAUGCCACCUGAAAACAAGAAGGAAAACGACAGAAAAUUGAAGCAUUUAAAAGAAAAUUGAAGGAAAGGGAAGGGGGGAUUUUUUUUCGGCAACCAAAGAAACAAAAAAAAGCAGAGAAAAAAAUAAAAAUAGCAGCAAGCAAAGCCUCCACCAUUGCCUUGGUGGAAACACCACCACCGCAACCACCAUCACUACAACCACCAAAGCCACCACCUAAAAAACCCAAUCAAGAAGCAAUAUGAAUUUGAGAAAACCCAAGAAAAAGCUUCCAAAAAUCAGCAGCCAAGAACCUUUUAAAAAAAAAAUCAUUUACCUUGGAAUCGCCGGUCACCGAGUGUGGAGAGGAGCCGAGGGCGGAGAAGGUCGGCGCAAGUGGCGGCGGCGGUUAUGGGUCUUGGAGAAUAAGAGAAGAAGAAGAAAGGAAGGAGGGAAGAAGAAAGGAGAGAAAAAAAUAGAAAAAGAAAGAAAAGAAAAUAAAAUAAAAAGAUAAAUAAAAAUAAAUCAGUCGGGUCAAUCCGACCCGACCCGUCCGACCCGCGACCCGUCAACAGGCCAAAUCAGCAGCAGCAAGAUACCCAGCAAGCCCAGCAAAUUAGGCCCAAAAAGGGUAGCCCAAGAGAAAAAAAACAAGCAGCAAAAAAAAAAACAAAGCAAAGCAGAAAAAAUAAAGGAGGAGCAGGCCCAAGCUGUUCCAAGCCCAGCGCCAGCAGCGGGCCAAGCGCCCAAGCCCGGCGCACCAGCAUUCGGCCCAGCACCCAGGCCCAACAUCCAGCAGAAAAAAAAAGGGAAAGGGAAGAAAAAAGAAAAGGGAAAGGGCCCACAACUUUGGGCUUUUUGGUAAUUU